rnacentral:rRNA from 1 species
GAUGAACGCUAGCGGCAGGCCUAACACAUGCAAGUCGAGGGGUAGCAGGAUUAAGCUUGCUUAAUUGCUGACGACCGGCGCACGGGUGCGUAACGCGUAUGCAACCUACCUUAUACUGGGGUAUAGCCCGGAGAAAUUCGGAUUAAUCCCCCAUAGUACUAAUGAAUCGCAUGGUUUAUUAGUUAAAGCAUUGCGGGAUAAGAUGGGCAUGCGUCCUAUUAGCUAGAUGGUGAGGUAACGGCUCACCAUGGCUACGAUAGGUCGGGGGCCUGAGAGGGUGGUCCCCCACACUGGUACUGGGACACGGACCAGACUCCUACGGGAGGCAGCAGUGAGGAAUAUUGGUCAAUGGGCGCAAGCCUGAACCAGCCAUGCCGCGUGCAGGAAGAAUGCCCUAUGGGUUGUAAACUGCUUUUAUUUGGGAAUAAACCUCUUUACGUGUAGAGAGCUGAAGGUACCAAAUGAAUAAGCACCGGCUAACUCCGUGCCAGCCGCCGCCGUAA